rnacentral:rRNA from 1 species
AUUGAACGCUGGCGGCAGGCUUAACACAUGCAAGUCGAGCGGAGAUGAGGUGCUUGCACCUUAUCUUAGCGGCGGACGGGUGAGUAAUGCUUAGGAAUCUGCCUAUUAGUGGGGGACAACAUUCCGAAAGGAAUGCUAAUACCGCAUACGUCCUACGGGAGAAAGCAGGGGAUCUUCGGACCUUGCGCUAAUAGAUGAGCCUAAGUCGGAUUAGCUAGUUGGUGGGGUAAAGGCCUACCAAGGCGACGAUCUGUAGCGGGUCUGAGAGGAUGAUCCGCCACACUGGGACUGAGACACGGCCCAGACUCCUACGGGAGGCAGCAGUGGGGAAUAUUGGACAAUGGGGUGAACCCUGAUCCAGCCAUGCCGCGUGUGUGAAGAAGGCCUUAUGGUUGUAAAGCACUUUAAGCGAGGAGGAGGCUACUGAGACUAAUACUCUUGGUUAGUGGACGUUACUCGCAGAAUAAGCACCGGCUAACUCUGUGCCAGCCGCCGCGGUAAGAC